GUGCUCGCUUUGGCAGCACAUAUACUAAAAUUGAAACCAUACAGAGAAGAUUAGCAUGGCCCCUGCGCAAGGAUGACACGUAAAUUCGUGAAGCGUUCUGUAUUUUU
rnacentral:snRNA from 1 species